rnacentral:rRNA from 1 species
GACGAACGCUGGCGGCGUGCUUAACACAUGCAAGUCGAACGGAAAGGCCCUGCCUUUGUGGGGUGCUCGAGUGGCGAACGGGUGAGUAACACGUGAGUAACCUGCCCUUGACUUUGGGAUAACUUCAGGAAACUGGGGCUAAUACCGGAUAGGAGCUCCUGCUGCAUGGUGGGGGUUGGAAAGUUUCGGUGGUUGGGGAUGGACUCGCGGCUUAUCAGCUUGUUGGUGGGGUAGUGGCUUACCAAGGCUUUGACGGGUAGCCGGCCUGAGAGGGUGACCGGCCACGCUAGGAUGGAGAUGCGGCACGGACUACUACGGGAGGGAGCAGUGGGGAAUAGUGCACAAUGGGCGGAGGCCUGGCGCAGCCACGCCGCGUGCGGGGAGACAGGAUGCGGGUUGUAAACCACUUUCGCCUGUGACGAGGCGUGAGUGACGGUAAUGGGUAAAGAAGCACCGGCUAACUACGUG